UACGUAGGGGGCUAGCGUUGUCCGGAAUCAUUUGGCGUAACGAGCGUGUAGGCGGUCCGGUAAGUCCGCUGUGAAAGUCGGGGGCUCAACCCUCGAAUGCCGGUGGAUACUGUCGGGCUAGAGUGCGGAAGAGGCGAGUGGAAUUCCUGGUGUAGCGGUGAAAUGCGUAGAUAUUGGGAAGAACACCGAUGGCGAAGGCAGCCAUCUGGACCGACACUGACGCUGAGGCGCGAAAGCGUGGGGAGCAAACAGG
rnacentral:rRNA from 1 species